rnacentral:rRNA from 1 species
GACGAACGCUGGCGGCGUGCCUAAUACAUGCAUGUAGAACGCUGAAGGAGGAGCUUGCUUCUCUGGAUGGGUUGCGAACGGGUGAGUAACGCGUAGGUAACCUGCCUGGUAGCGGGGGAUAACUAUUGGAAACGAUAGCUAAUACCGCAUAAUAGUAGAUGUUGCAUGACAUUUGCUUAAAAGGUGCAAUUGCAUCACUACCAGAUGGACCUGCGUUGUAUUAGCUAGUUGGUGGGGUAACGGCUCACCAAGGCGACGAUACAUAGCCGACCUGAGAGGGUGAUCGGCCACACUGGGACUGAGACACGGCCCAGACUCCUACGGGAGGCAGCAGUAGGGAAUCUUCGGCAAUGGACGGAAGUCUGACCGAGCAACGCCGCGUGAGUGAAGAAGGUUUUCGGAUCGUAAAGCUCUGUUGUAAGAGAAGAACGAGUGUGAGAGUGGAAAGUUCACACUGUGACGGUAUCUUACCAGAAAGGGACGGCUAACUACGUG